GACGAACGCUGGCGGCGUGCUUAACACAUGCAAGUCGAACGGAAAGGCCCUGCUUUUGUUGGUUUCUCGAGUGGCGAACGGGUGAGUAACACGUGAGUAACCUCCCCCUGUCUUUGUGAUAACUUCAGGAAACUGGGGCUAUUACCGGGUAUGAUCUCCUGCUGCAUGUUGUGGGUUGGAAAGUUUCGGCGGUUGGGGCUGGACUCGCGGGUUAUCCGCUUCUUUGUGAGGUAGUGGCUGACCAAGGCUUUGACGGGUAGCCGGCCUGAGAGGGUGACCGGGGACAUGGGGACUAAGAGACGGAGCAGAAGGGAACGGGAGGCAGUAGGGGAGAAUAUUGCAGAAUGGGCGGAAGCGAGAGGCAGAGGCGCCGCGAGCGGGAUGACGGCCUUCGAGUGGUAAACCGAUUUCGAAUGUGACGAAGCGUGAGUGACGGUAAUGGGUAAAGAAGCACCGGCUAACUACGUG
rnacentral:rRNA from 1 species